GCCUAGGUGGCUCAGUCAGCUGAGCAUCUGACUUUGGCUCAGGUCAUCAUCUCGCGGUUUGUGGGUUCAAGCCCCGCACUGGGCU
rnacentral:tRNA from 1 species